rnacentral:rRNA from 1 species
GACGAACGCUGGCGGCGUGCCUAAUACAUGCCAGUAGAACGCUGAAGCUUGGUGCUUGCACCGAGCGGAUGAGUUGCGAACGGGUGAGUAACGCGUAGGUAACCUGCCUGGUAGCGGGGGAUAACUAUUGGAAACGAUAGCUAAUACCGCAUAAGAGUAGAUGUUGCAUGACAUUUGCUUAAAAGGUGCAAUUGCAUCACUACCAGAUGGACCUGCGUUGUAUUAGCUAGUUGGUGAGGUAACGGCUCACCAAGGCAACGAUACAUAGCCGACCUGAGAGGGUGAUCGGCCACACUGGGACUGAGACACGGCCCAGACUCCUACGGGAGGCAGCAGUAGGGAAUCUUCGGCAAUGGACGGAAGUCUGACCGAGCAACGCCGCGUGAGUGAAGAAGGGUUUCGGAUCGUAAAGCUCUGUUGUAAGAGAAGAACGAGUGUGAGAGUGGAAAGUUCACACUGUGACGGUAUCUUACCAGAAAGGGACGGCUAACUACGUG